AUCGUCGUCUCCGAUGUCGAGCUGGUCGGCGCCGAAGGCUUGCAGUGAAGGGUUGUACCCGCCUUGCCCGAUCGAGAUCAGGUAGAGCGGGAAGAAGAGGGAAGAGCGUGGCAUCCAUUUGCGGAGCAGUUCCCAUGAGAGCAACCAAAUCUCCUGACGACAACUACAAGGAAAGAAAAUUGAAAUGGUGAUUAUUUAUUAUUCGUUGAGAUUCCGGGCUAUGGAAAACAAAACAAGUUCAGAAACAGACUGGAAAAGCACAGACAAGAACAAGACAGAGCAGAUGGACGAUGAACUUGUCUUACGGCGACAUAGAGCAAGGAGGAAGCGACGAUGGUGGAGUAGCGAUCCCAGCAGUAGGAGUCGGCGAGGACGGCGCUGAAGAGCGGCAGCAUGGAGGUGACCCCGGCCCAAAUGCUGACGCUCUUGGCCGCCGCCGACGUGCUCAUCUCCACCACGCCGGUGAGGUAAGUCACCAGGUUGCACGCCACGCCCUUGUACGCGAACCUCUCCACGCCAGCCACCACUGCACGCAUGAACAAACCAACAACAGCUCAGCCCUGCAGGCCUGAAUUGAUGGUCCAACACAUUUGUAUACAAAUUCUGAUCAGAAGUUCAGAGCAUUUA